GGGUAAUGGCCUACCAAGGCAAUAAUGGGUAGCUGGUCUGAGAGGAUGAUCAGCCACAUUGGGACUGAGAUACGGCCCAGACUCCUACGGGAGGCAGCAGUGGGGAAUAUUGGACAAUGGACGAAAGUCCGAUCCAGCGACACCGCGUGGGGGAUGAAGGCUUUCGGGUUGUAAACCCCUUUUCUGGGGGAAGAAUAAGGUCAGGAGGAAAUGCCUGUCCGAUGACGGUACUCCAGGAAUAAGCAUCGGCAAACUUCGUGCCAGCAGCCGCGGUAAGACGAGGGAUGCAAGCGUUAUCCGGAAUUACUGGGCGUAAAGGACGUCUAGGCGGUUGGAUAAGUCAUUUGUGAAAUCCCAGGGCUUAACCCUGGAAGGUCUUGUGAUACUGUCCAGCUUGGGUGUAGGAGAGGAGAGCGGAACUCACAGAGUAGCGGUGGAAUGCGUAGAUACCGUGAGGUACCCCGAUGGCGAAGGCAGCUCUCUGGCCUAUUACCGACGCUGAAGCGUGAAAGCGUGGGGAGCAAAGGGGAUUAGAUACCCCCGUAGUCCACGCCCCAAACGAUGUUCACUUGGUGUCGGGAGCCUAUAUAUCUCGGUGCCGGAGCUAACGCGUUAAGUGAACCGCCUGAGGAGUACGGCCGCAAGGCUAAAACUCAAGAGAAUUGACGGGUCCCCGCACAAGCGGUGGAGCACGUGGUUUAAUUCGAUAUAAGCGAAGAACCUCACCUGGGCUUGACAUACUAGUGGUAAGAACCGGAAACGGUGAUGACCCUACCUUCGGGUAGGGAGCUAAUACAGGUGAUGCAUGGCUGUCGUCAGCUCGUGUCGUGGGAUGUAGGGUUAAGUCCCGAAACGAGCGCAACCCUUGUCACUAGUUGCCAGCGGAUAAUGCCGGGGACUCUAGUGAGACUGCUGGUGAAUAGCCGGAGGAAGGCGGGGAUGACGUCAAGUCAUCAUGUCCCUUAUGCCCAGGGCGACACACAUGCUACAAUGGGAGGUACAAAGGGUUGCGAAGCCGUAAGGCGGAGCCAAUCUCAAAAAACCUUCCUCAGUUCGGAUUGUGGUCUGCAACUCGACCACAUGAAGCCGGAAUCGCUAGUAAUCGUAGGUCAGCCAUACUACGGUGAAUAUGUACUCGGGGAUUGUACACACCGCCCGUCACACCAACCGAGUGGGGGGUACCUGAAGUCGCUCUUUUGAGGGCGCCUAAGGUAACCUUCGCAAGAGGGGUGAAGUCGUAACAAGGUA
rnacentral:rRNA from 1 species